rnacentral:tRNA from 1 species
GCCCUCCUGGUGGAAUUGGCAGACACGUACGCUUCAGGUGCGUAUGUCCGCAAGGACGUAGAGGUUCAAAUCCUCUGGAGGGCA